UAAGGAAGUUCUUUGAUACAAUCAGAAGUUGGCUCCCUGCUCCUGUUUGCCUGAUGUUUAAGGCCGAUUCACUCGUGGAUGCUUUUUGCUGUUCCCCUGUUUGGGCCCUCACUGCGGUUCCCUUGACAUAUAGGCAGCUCCUCUCUUGCCGUGGGUUCCUAGUCCCCUCUCAAUAUCUGUUUUCCCCUGGCCCUACAGCAGCUACCCUUUGGGGCAGGAUCCCUUAAAAAGUGUCCCCAAACAUCUGGCUCAAGGGCUUGUGACUUGGGUUGGGUCUGAAAGGAGUCCAAGACAGACUCAGGCAAGGCCUGUGGGUCCCAGCAUGAGACCUGAGCAAGGGAGAAGCAGUUCUGAGGAAGACAUCUGGGAAGGUGGCCCUAAGAGAACAUCCUCAAGGAGAGUCUUGGUCCCAGCGUGAGUCAUGGAAAGGAGUGGCUGCUUUAUUAGCCUGAGCCUCAGAGUGAAGACAAUAUUGAGAAAAACCCAGCCAACCGGGAUGAAACAAGUACAGGAGUGAGAAAUAAACUAUGUUGUUGAAAGCCUUGA